AUUGAACGCUGGCGGCAGGCCUAACACAUGCAAGUCGAGCGGAUGAAGGGAGCUUGCUCCUUGAUUCAGCGGCGGACGGGUGAGUAAUGCCUAGGAAUCUGCCUAGUAGUGGGGGACAACGUUUCGAAAGGAACGCUAAUACCGCAUACGUCCUACGGGAGAAAGUGGGGGCUCUUCGGACCUCACGCUAUUAGAUGAGCCUAGGUCGGAUUAGCUAGUUGGUAGGGUAAAGGCCUACCAAGGCGACGAUCCGUAACUGGUCUGAGAGGAUGAGCAGUCACACUGGAACUGAGACACGGUCCAGACUCCUACGGGAGGCAGCAGUGGGGAAUAUUGGACAAUGGGCGCAAGCCUGAUCCAGCCAUGCCGCGUGUGUGAAGAAGGCCUUCGGGUCGUAAAGCACUUUAAGUUGGGAGGAAGGGCUUACGGUUAAUACCUGUGAGUUUUGACGUUACCAACAGAAUAAGCACCGGCUAACUUCGUGCCAGCAGCCGCGGUAA
rnacentral:rRNA from 1 species